rnacentral:rRNA from 1 species
CCUACGGGUGACAGCAGUCGAGAAUCAUUCACAAUGGGGGAAACCCUGAUGGUGCGACGCCGCGUGGGGGAAUGAAGGUCUUCGGAUUGUAAACCCCUGUCAUGUGGGAGCAAAUUAAAAAGAAAGUACCACAAGAGGAAGAGACGGCUAACUCUGGGCCAGCAGCCGCGGUAAUACAGAGGUCUCAAGCGUUGUUCGGAAUCACUGGGCGUAAGGCGUGCGUAGGCUGUUUCGUAAGUCGUGUGUGAAAGGCGCGGGCUCAACCCGCGGACGGCACAUGAUACUGCGAGACUAGAGUAAUGGAGGGGGAACCGGAAUUCUCGGUGUAGCAGUGAAAUGCGUAGAUAUCGAGAGGAACACUCGUGGCGAAGGCGGGUUCCUGGACAUUAACUGACGCUGAGGCACGAAGGCCAGGGGAGCGAAAGGGAUUAGAUACCCUUGUAGUC